UCUGACUAGUCACCUAAAAGUCUCCUGGAUCUGAAACGCAAUUUUUGUUUCAACAGUUUCUCUUUCUCUUUCUCGUAACCUUCCUUCACGUUUAAGUGUUUUCUUCUUCUUCUUCUUCCCCCAAAUCAAAACUUGUGCCCCAAAAGAAAAACAGAAACUGUGUAGAGAGAUUUUUAAAUAGAGAGAAAGAGAGAUGUGGGUAUUUUAUCUGAUCUCUCUUCCUCUAACACUGGGUAUGGUAUUAUUUACAUUGAGGUAUUUUGCUGGACCAGAUGUUCCUCAUUAUGUUCUCUUUACUGUCGGUUACACCUGGUUUUGUUCUAUUUCUAUUAUCAUCCUCGUCCCUGCUGAUAUCUGGACGACUACCAUUGGGCAGGAGAAUCGCGGUAUUGCAUUCUUUUGGAGCUGGUCAUAUUGGAGUACCUUUUUACUUACUUGGGCUGUGGCACCCAUUAUUCAGGGCUAUGAAGAUGCUGGGGACUUCACUGUGAAAGAACGAUUGAAGACUAGUGCGCAUGCAAAUCUUGUCUUCUAUCUGAUUUUGGGAUUUGUUGGCCUUUUUGGGCUCAUUCUACUAAUUAUUAUGCGACGAGAUUGGAGUGGCAAUGUGAUUGGUCUAGCUAUGGCUUGCUCGAAUACCUUUGGACUUGUUACAGGUGCAUUUCUUCUUGGUUUUGGUUUGAGUGAAAUUCCAAAAAGCUAUUGGAGAAAUGCAGAUUGGAUCACUCGUCAAAAAGUACUUUCUCAUAAGGUUGCAAAGAUGGCUGUGAAACUUGAUGAUGCUCAUCAACAAUUUUCCAAUGCUAUUGUUGUCGCUCAAGCAACAUCAAAUCAGAUGAGCAAGCGCGAUCCUCUAAGGCCCUACAUGAACAUUGUCGAUAAAAUGUUGAAUGAGAUGUUAAGAGAAGACCCAUCCUUCAAACCACAAGGGGGACAAUUGGGAGAAAAUGAUAUGGAUUAUGAUACUGAUGAGAAAUCAAUGGCCACACUAAGGCGCCAACUCAGAAUAGCUCGAGAAGAGUAUUAUCGGUACAAAAGUGAGUAUAUGACAUACGUCAUGGAGGCUCUUGAGCUGGAAGAUACGAUAAAAAACCACGAGCAUCGUGUUUCAACUGGAUGGAAAUAUAUUUCUAGCUUCAGACCUGCUCGUAAAGGCACCCUAGGCUCCGUUUUGGAUACACUAGAAUUGGUCUGGCGUUGCGUGAUAAGGAAGCAACUUGAGAAAUUCCUGGCUAUCUUAUUUGGUUGCAUGUCAGUUGCUAUACUUUUAGCAGAGGCGACUCUACUUCCUAGUGGACUUCAUUUAUCUCUUUUCUCACUUCUCAUAAAUGCCAUGGGAAAAGAAGAGAUGCUUGUGCAGGUAGCGGCUUUUAUACCUCUAAUGUAUAUGUGCAUGUGCACGUAUUACUCCUUGUUUAAGAUUGGAAUGCUGAUGUUUUAUUCAUUCACACCAAGGCAAACUAGUUCGGUCAGCUUGCUCAUGAUAUGCUCUAUGGUUGCACGAUAUGCUCCUCCAAUUUCAUACAACUUUUUAAAUCUCAUUCGUCUUGAUGGAAAUGCUAAAACUGUCUUUGAGAAGAGAAUGGGAAAUAUUGAUGACGCUGUUCCUUUCUUCGGGCUAGGCUUUAAUAAAAUAUACCCACUUAUUAUGGUUGUCUAUACCAUAUUUGUUGCUAGCAAUUUCUUUGACCGGGUAGUCGACUUUCUUGGAAGCUGGAUCAGGUUCAGGUUCCAAAGUCAAGCUGAUGAUACUGAUGGGUUUGAUCCAUCGGGACUCAUUAUCUUACAGAAAGAAAGAUCUUGGCUUGAACAAGGGCAUAAGAUUGGCGAACAUGUUUUUCCUUUGGCAAGGAAUUUCAACAAUACGAGUAUGGAUGUCGAGACUGGCAAUGGGAUGGAUAAGGUUGCUAUUGAAUUGAAAGCAUCAAGUCAAUCAAACUCUUCAACAGAAGCAUCUCGUAAGUACGCAUCGAGCAGACAAGCCAUGGAAAAUAAGUAUGCUGCGAUAAGACAACAACAAAUUAAACAGGCAUCAUCUAACACAAUGGCAGAGAAGAACUUCACUUCUGCUAAAGUCUCUUUGCUUGGCAUAGGGGAUUCCCAGAGUGAGAAUAGCACUGAUAACACCGCACCUUCUGGAUUAGCAUCGAAGUGGGUGUCGAUGAAAAACGGGUUCCAAACUUUCAAGGCAAAUAUGGAGGCCAAGAACUUUCUUCCUCUGCGUCAGGGUCAGGACACAAAACUGAUUUCUCGUGUAUCCUCAUCUGAAUCACUAGACCAAAUAUUCCAGAGAUUGAAAAAACCUUCUGGAGGUCACGAUAGCUAUGGUGAUGAAGAUGAUGACGAUGAUACAGAAAUCAGAGAUAUGGGUUCCAGAUAAUUACCAAGCAGUUACAGAAUUGGGCAUUUCGAUCUCAACUUCGGUUUUAACUCAUGAACUCAAAAGUAGGCAUCUGCAAGUGAGAGAUGGGUACUAGAUCAGUUCUUAGCAAAAAAUUCUUUGGAUUUGGAUCACCUUCAGUAUUAGUGAGGGUGGUUUUGAUCUGUACAGAAAUCUACACAAGGUCGCUAACGAGUGGCUCCUUGAUGAGCUACCAAUGCCAUAUACACGCCACAUAGAAAACAGGAAAUGAAAAAGGAUAUAUUGUGGUUGUAUUGGGGAAAUUUUGUAAAACACUGGUAUGAAAACCGAAACGUGGUGUUAUGUAUUUUGGAUUCAAACACACGCAUGGAAUGAAUAUAAGGGACAUUCCAAGCCUUCCGUGCAUCAUUGAUACUUGCAGAAGUCCUGCUUCCGCUUCCGCACACAGCUUUUGGUUUCUCUCAAAUAUUGCUUUGCUCUUAUGCUUGAGUUUAUGUCUAUGACCAUAUGGAGAUGAUCCUGAUCCACCUUUCCCAUCUAGGACCAAUUAUGACGCCUCCCCUCAUCCUAAACGUCUUGACCAGAUCAAAUAUUGUCUGACAACUCGAUAUGAAACCAGAUGGCUUUCAUAUUUGAAGUUCGAUUUUCCUUUUUAGAAUUGUUUUUUGCUCAGCUUUCCACAAAAACGACUUGGUGUUGUAAUCUCCGCAUGACACUCUAUAUGUACAGACCAGCCGAUUGGGAUUGAAAUUCACAAGAAACAGUCUUCUGAUUUCAUUGAAAA